AUCAUGGGAAUAGCUGCAUGAAAUAGUUCCUUGUAUUCGAAUGAUGCUAGAAGCUAAAAAGAAUAAAUUGAGCAAUAGUUCCAAGUGGUUUACAUGAGGACAAAAAUAAGACCGUAGCCUCAGGCUGC
rnacentral:sRNA from 1 species